UAUUAAGGGGGAAACGUCAUGAUAAACGUAGAAUAAUAAAAACUUAUUAAGAAAUCUAAAAACGCGUCAAAAUAUGGGCAAUUAAUGACUUACAUUAAUGUUUCUAGAAUGUCAAUUUUGACGUGUAAAAGAAGUCGUCAAAUUACGUGAGUCAAUUACUUAAUUGCCAAUAAAAUAAUUUAAAACCAUGUUUCCAGUUUAGAAUUUCCAAGUAUAGAAUUCCGGUAUAGAAGACCCGCUUUCUAUACCGGCAUGGCGUUCGGUGUUGCCAAAUUAGAUAUUUUCUAGCUUGAUCCAGUGGAUUUUGUUUCGAUUUAGGGGUCGAGUGACGUGUGGCGUGAGGUGGUAAAAUUGCUCCUCCUGCAGAGUUCGUAAAGCUUGUUUGUGCAUCUGUUACCGGUCUUCUAGGAUGCUUCCGAAUCCCUCUUCGCGCUCUGGCUUUGGCAGCAAAAUAUAUACGUAUAUAUACAAACACCAUGAUGCAAGAAGGAAUGUAGAAGGAGCCAAGCGCGGAGUAAAGAACAUAUCCCAGUUCUUCACUUAACUAUAAAAAAAGACAAAAUAUUAGAUAAAACAUAGUUGGAAACAAUGCAAAAAAAUCUUCUCUGAUUUACUAAUAACUUUAUGUCCUAGUAAUCUAAGAAUUAUAUAUUUUGAAAAAUAGUGUUUUAGUAUUUCUUAA